GACGAACCGUCCAAACGUUAUUCGGAAUUACUGGGCUUAAAGGGUGCGUAGGCGGCGCUACAAGUCGGGUGUGAAAUCCCUCAGCUUAACUGAGGAACUGCGCCCGAAACUGUAGUGCUGGAGUGAGGCAGGGGUGAGCGGAACUGAUGGUGGAGCGGUGAAAUGUGUUGAUAUCAUCAGGAACACCGGUGGCGAAGGCGGCUCACUGGGCCUUUACUGACGCUGAGGCACGAAAGCUAGGGGAGCAAACGGG
rnacentral:rRNA from 2 species